GGGGAUGCAGCUCAGUGGGAGAGCAUGUGCUUAGCAUGCACAAGACCCAGGGUUUGAUCCCCAGCACUGUUU
rnacentral:tRNA from 1 species